rnacentral:lncRNA from 1 species
UUACACGGUUUUCAGUGUUGACAAAGGAUACAAAUUCUGUUGGAGGAAAGAGGAAAGGGAGAAAAAGAAGCGGAAAGGAAACUUGAUCCAUCUUUCUGGGAAUUCUCUCUGUGACUUUCUGUUAUGGUUGUUCAAAUGCUUUUCAUUAUAUCCUGACCAUCCAUGGUAGCCAGAAACAAAAAAACGAUAUAGAAUCUGCCAUCAAUAAACUUUUCACUUAUAUUCC